rnacentral:lncRNA from 1 species
UAGAUCAUUUGAAAAAAAAAAAACAAACUAGUUUAUUUUUUGACAAUGGGAACAUCACGUGUUCUCUACCAACCUUAAGAUAAUUUACUUGACGUUGAAGUACCAAACGACUCACAAUAAAACUCAUCGACAGAUUAAGUACGACAACUUGAAUAGAUUUUUGUGGGUAAGUUGGCAUACUCCUCAUGAGAAAUUAUACAGGCUCAAAAUUGAUGACUUUACUCGAGACAACACUAGUAAUCUAAUUGAUAGAGGUCUCAUUAGAAGCAAUUAAGGCCAAUAAAUUAUGAACUUUACGAGUAAAUAGGAUAUUAUUAAUAUUUUUUAGAGAAAACACACAAAAAAUAAGAUUAUAAAUUUAGAUCUUUCAAAUAAAUUUGAUCUAUUUAAGAAUUCAUGAACCUUAAUUAAAAUAUGACUAUUAAUAAUCGUGACGGUGAGAUAUCGUGAUGUUCUUACUGGGCUAGUGUAGCUCACUCCUUAUUUAACCAUUUCAGAUCAGGAAGACAUGGUUCCCGAGCCUGUUCCGCAGGAGGACGACGAAGGGGAUGCCUAGAGACUCUGUAGUCAUACUCAUAGUUUUAUUUUCGAGUUUCUCUCUUAGUUAGUUUAAUCUUUUGUAUUUUAAGUACGUUUUUAG